rnacentral:rRNA from 1 species
GACGAACGCUGGCGGCGUGCUUAACACAUGCAAGUCGAACGGAAAGGCCCUGCUUUUGUGGGGUGCUCGAGUGGCGAACGGGUGAGUAACACGUGAGUAACCUGCCCUUGACUUUGGGAUAACUUCAGGAAACUGGGGCUAAUACCGGAUAGGAGCUCCUGCUGCAUGGUGGGGGUUGGAAAGUUUCGGCGGUUGGGGUUGGACUCGCGGCUUAUCAGCUUGUUGGUGGGGUAGUGGCUUACCAAGGCUUUGACGGGUAGCCGGCCUGAGAGGGUGACCGGCCACAUUGGGAUUGAGAUACGGCCCAGACUCCUACGGGGGGCAGCAGUGGGGAAUAUUGCAAAAUGGGCGGAAGUCUGAUGCAGCAACGCCGAGUGCGGGAUGACGGCCUUCGGGUUGUAAUCCGCUUUCGCCUGUGACGAAGCGUGAGUGACGGUAAUGGGUAAAGAAGCACCGGCUAACUACGUG